CCGGAUGCUCGGCGGGCGCACAGCGCUCUUCGCCAGCCUGAGAGCGUGUUCCCUCUGCCGGGUCUCGCUUUACCGUCCGUCCUUCUGAAGACUGAUCAGCCUUGUCGCAUGUUAGUGGGUUUAUGUAUCACAGAAUCAGUUCGGUUGGAAAAGACCUCUGAGAUCAUUGAGUCCAACCUGUGACCGAACACCACUAUGUCAAUAGACCAUGCCAGAUCCCGCCUUUCCUUAGACACCUCCAGGAGCAGUGACUCCACCACCUCCCUGUGCAGCCCAUUCCAAUGUCGAAUCACCCUUUCUAUGAAGAAAUUCCUCCUGCUGUUCAGCCUACACCUCCCCUGGCACAGCAGCUAAAGACUAUGCCCUCUCGUCAGCUGCCUGAGAGAAGAAUGAAAAUAAAUGCCCAUCGAGUCAGACCAGUGGCUCGUCUAAAUGAGAGUUGAUGAGUUUCCUUUCAGAAUGCCAUCCCGUGCAUCAAGGACAAGUGGAAUGCAGCAAAAGGCAAACAGGAAUGCGUCACGAUCCAUCCACAUGUACAAGGUGCAGAAGCUCGAGCACCACUGAGGCUAUAAGCACCAUAAAUACUCCUGCAAAUGGCAUCUUUGACCUUCAUGUUGCAAGAAAGCUGCAUCUGGCUCUGUAAUGACAGUGCUGGGCUAUCAGUUCACAGGAAAAAAAUUCCCAUUAUGAAUUGCAGUCAAUUCCCAUUGAUUUAGAAUCACAGAAUAAUAUUUGCUGCUGCCUAAAAAGCAGCAAAACACACCGUACAGGAGGGCAUUUGGGCUGUUACCAAACAUACUUGCUCUAAAUGCUGAGGGUUCUUUUUCAAUUCAGAUGGAAAACCGUCUGGCUGAUUUUCAAGGAGAUAUUUAAGGUUAUUCAAAACAAAAGGUCAGACAGCGAACAAAGAAACAAUGACAAGGCAGGAAACCCAGCAAAGAGUAAUCCCUGUGAAUCAACCACGCCUAAAAGCCCCAGCAACUGGAUGAACGACUAAGCCAUUUGUCCCACUUGCAAAACCCACUGAAGUGGAUUCAAAGGAGGAAACUCUGGAAUGUAUGCAAACGAAGGGCAGUUACUGCAAUACGACUAGGGGAAAAUACUGCAAUAAAGAGGCUUUAGGACUUACGGGGGGAGUAGUUAGCAGCUGUGGGGGGAUGUUGAGACCGAUAAAGAGAAUUUUAGGGUUUUCAAAACUGCACUGGUAUGCUUGGGGUAAAAAUCACCGGCAGGGAAAUGGUAGGAUCAAGGUGGAUCAAAUGGAGAGAAAGUAGGUAUAAACAAAGCCAGUCAAAUGCAAUCAGUAUGUUUGUCUGCACAAGAUUCGUAUCUGAUCACCGGAGCCUGCAUUACAUUUUUAAUAAAUUAUUUUAAUUGUU